rnacentral:misc_RNA from 1 species
AGAAGGGAUUGCCUCAAACUAGACCAAAACUGGUGUUUGGAUGAGUUGAUGAGGGGAUUUUUCUUCUUUUUAUGGGCAUUGUUGUUUAUUUUGAUGGAAUGAAUGCACGAUUAAUUCUCUAAGUUAGUAUCUUAAGUUUUUCUUCGUGUUUUCUGUUUGUGUGUACUUUUUAUAAAAAUUUAAUGAAAUUUAAAGCUUUAUUUGAUAUUAAA